UACGAAGGGGGCUAGCGUUGUUCGGAAUCACUGGGCGUAAAGGGUGCGUAGGCUGUGCAGAAAGUUAGGUGUGAAAUCCCCCGGCUCAACCGGGGAAUUGCGCUUAAAACUACUGUGCUAGAGAAAGAUAGAGGUGAGCGGAACUUCGGGUGGAGCGGUGAAAUGCGUUGAUAUCCGAAGGAACACCGGUGGCGAAAGCGGCUCACUGGAUCUUUUCUGACGCUGAUGCACGAAAGCUAGGGGAGCAAACGGG
rnacentral:rRNA from 1 species